GCGACAACAAACUGCAACACUAGGUAAUGGUAUCUUAGAGAUGGAAUCCAGCGAGUGUCUGGCUCCCAGCACCACACCGACUCCUACACAAACUCAGAAUUCAUGUUGGUUGAGCUGAAGGAAAAAAUGUCGGCUUAAGAGGCAGUUGAUAGCCAAUUGUACAAGGCUUCUGUACGAGGGGUCCGCAGCCUAAGGUUGGAACAAAUAUGGUGGAGUACCUCACACUGGCUGAGAUGUCAAGGCUGUAUUCCCUUACUUCCUACACUUAGCAAAGCAGGCCUGCACAUAGAUCAUUUUGAAUUCUUAAUUUAAUUAAUUUUACGGAUUUUAUUCAUUCUUUGCAUAAAUAGUUUUCUAGUAAUAGACACUAGAAUUAUAAGUAACAUUUAAAGUGAUAGUUCACCCUAAAAAUGAAAAUACUCUCAUUUACUCAC